UACGUAGGGCGCAAACGUUGUCCGGAAUUAUUGGGCGUAAAGAGCUCGUAGGCGGUUUGUCGCGUCUGCUGUGAAAACCUAAGGCUCAACCUUGGGCUUGCAGUGGGUACGGGCAGACUAGAGUGCGGUAGGGGUGACUGGAAUUCCUGGUGUAGCGGUGGAAUGCGCAGAUAUCAGGAGGAACACCGAUGGCGAAGGCAGGUCACUGGGCCGCAACUGACGCUGAGGAGCGAAAGCAUGGGGAGCGAACAGG
rnacentral:rRNA from 1 species